rnacentral:rRNA from 1 species
AUUGAACGCUGGCGGCGUGCUUAACACAUGCAAGUCGAACGCGAAAGGGACUUCGGUCCUGAGUAAAGUGGCGCACGGGUGAGUAACGCGUGGAUAAUCUGCCCUUAUGAUUGGGAUAACAGUUGGAAACGGCUGCUAAUACCGGAUACGCUCAAAAUGAACUUUUUGGGGAAAGGUGGCCUCUGCUUGCAUGCUAUCGCGUAAGGAUGAGUCCGCGUCCCAUUAGCUUGUUGGCGGGGUAACGGCCCACCAAGGCAUCGAUGGGUAGCCGAUUUGAGAGGAUGAUCGGCCACACUGGAACUGAAACACGGUCCAGACUCCUACGGGAGGCAGCAGUGGGGAAUAUUGCGCAAUGGGCGAAAGCCUGACGCAGCGACGCCGCGUGAGGGAUGAAGGUUUUCGGAUCGUAAACCUCUGUCAGAAGGGAAGAAACUACAUUGUGCUAAUCAGCAGUGUACUGACGGUACCUUCAAAGGAAGCACCGGCUAACUCCGUGCCAGCCGCCGCAGUAA